UACAGAGGGGGCAAGCGUUAUUCGGAAUUAUUGGGCGUAAAGGGCGCGUAGGCGGCCUGACAAGUGGAAGGUGAAAUCCCUCGGCUCAACUGAGGAACUGCCCUCCAAACUGUUUGGCUUGAGACCGGGAGAGGUGAGUGGAAUUCCCAGUGUAGCGGUGAAAUGCGUAGAUAUUGGGAGGAACACCAGUGGCGAAGGCGGCUCACUGGACCGGAACUGACGCUGAGGAGCGAAAGCAUGGGGAGCGAACAGG
rnacentral:rRNA from 1 species